GGGGCGGUGUGGGCCGGGCGUGGGCGGGCGGAGCGGUGGGCGCUGCCCCGGCGAGGGCCCGACUUGUGGUGCGGGCAGGAGCGGCCCGAGCUUGGCCCCGCUCUGCUGCUGUCCGCCUCCCGCCGGGCGCGGCAGGGCCCGAUGGCGGGCGGGCUGGGGCCGCGGCUGCUGGCCUUGGCCUUGGCCUUGGGGCCGGCAGGCGUUUGGACUCAGUUGAGUGUGGUGGAGUCUGGUGGAGGUCUGCGAGCACCUGGAGACUCCGUGCAUCUCUCCUGCCAGGGAUCCGGAUUCACCUUUGGAAGUUAUCCUGUCUGGUGGUACCGUCAGGCACGCGGUGGAAGUCUCGAGUGGCUGUCCGCCAUUAGCUCUGGUGUGUGUGCUGAAUUGAUGCUGGUGGAGUCUGGUGGACGUCUUCGAGUGCCAGGGGAAUCCGUGCACCUCUCCUGCUGGGGAUCUGACUUCAACUUUGCAAUUUACAGUGUUCUGUGGUACCGUCAGGCACUUGGUGGGAGUCUUCAGUGGCUGUCCUAUAUUAACCCAGAUUCCUCAUAUAUUAGAUAUGGCUCAGCAGUGAAAGGCCGAGCCACAGCCUCUCGAGAUAAUUCCAAGUCCAAGACAGCUCUGACCCUGAAUAACCUGCACCUCCAGGACUCAGCCCGCUAUUUCUGUGCUGUUCACACAGGGACAGGAAAUCUAGCUGAGCUUUAACUGAAUCCUGCUUGCAGGGCUCUGGCCCUUGGCACUGGAGCUUAAUCGAGUUGCACAGGUGUUUGGGGCAGCUCCUAGAGAGCCAUUUUUUUUUUACAACAUACAGUUUUUAAUUAUUUGACUUAGAGAGACAUGUUCUACUUGUUUCUGUCCCCAGAGGAGCUCAAACACUUCUGAUUGCUGUCUUCCUGUGUCUCUUCCUCACGUUCCUGAAACAUCACCUUUGGAAACAAGUUUCCCUGUUUCCAUUGUUUCCUGAUAGGAUGGGUGUCAUGUAGUUGUCCUACAGAUAAACCCUGGUCUGGUUUUAGGUAUGGCUUGGUUUGCUUCAGUCCAGCCUACAGGCUUUGUACUCUCCCCUUUUCUCUGAGGGUUUCCCCUUCUCUCUGAGGGUUGAACAGGGGAAAAGGGGAGAGUACAAAGGGUCCUUUGGGAGCUCACCAUAAGAAAGGAGAUGUCUGUAGUUUCUCGUGGAAGACAGUUCAGGAAAGACAAAAUUUGCCUUUCAUCCAAAAUGAGACAGUUUUCACAUCAGUGUCUUGUAGGCUUAACAAAGCAGUAUUGCAAUAAAAGUAAAUUUACAUUAUUUACA